rnacentral:rRNA from 1 species
CUGCUAAUCCCGGAUAAGCCGCAAGGUGAAACGAUUUAUCGCCUGGAGAUGACCUCGCGUCUGAUUAGCUAUUUGGUGGGGUAAAAGCCCACCAAGGCGACAAUCAGUAGCUGGUCUGAGAGGACGAUCAGCCACGCUGGGACUGAGACACGGCCCAGACUCCUACGGGAGGCACCAGUGGGGAAUUUUCCGCAAUGGGCGCAAGCCUGACGGAGCAAGACCGCUUGGGGGANGAAGGCUCUUGGGUUGUAAACCCCUUUUCUCNAGGNNGAAGUUCUGACGGUACUUGAGGAAUCAGCCUCGGCUAACUCCGUGCCAGCAGCCGCGGUAAUACGGAGGAGGCAAGCGUUAUCCGGAAUGAUUGGGCGUAAAGCGUCCGCAGGUGGCUGUUCAAGUCNGCUGUCAAAUCCAGGGGCUCAACUCCUNACCGGCAGUGGAAACUGAACANCUAGAGUGCGGUAGGGGNAGAGGGAAUUCCCNGUGUAGCGGUGAAAUGCGUAGAGAUCGGGAAGAACACCGGUGGCGAAAGCGCUCUGCUGGGCCGCAACUGAC